CUGAGAAGCAGGCCCGGGCACUCUGCUCUCCUGUCCUGCGGAGUUUCAGGCAAUGAAGUGAGCAUAAGUCCAGGUCAUCGAUUGGUGAUUGAUCUUCUGGUGGGCAGCCUGAUGGCUGAUGGAGGGUUGGAGUCAGCCUUACACGCAGCCAUUACUGCAGAGAUCCAGGAUACAAAAAAAGAAGCACGGAAGGAAAAAGAAAUUUA
rnacentral:lncRNA from 1 species